rnacentral:rRNA from 1 species
GCAUGAAGCUGGAAUCGCUAGUAAUCGCGGAUCAGAAUGCCGCGGUGAAUACGUUCCCGGGUCUUGUACACACCGCCCGUCACACCAUGGGAGUUGGAAAUGCCCGAAGUCAGUGGCCCAACCGUAAGGAGGGAGCUGCCGAAGGCAGGUCCGGUAACCGGGGUGAAGUCGUAACAAGGUAAC